ensembl:lncRNA
UUAUUCAUAGAACAAAAACACAUUAUGAUUUAUUGUGCUGUUUUAUAUGUAUGUAUAUAUAUAUGUGUGUGUGUGUGUGUGUGUGUGUGUGUGUGUGAUUUCUAUCUUAAUGCACUAAGCAUUUCCUUUAAUGAAUGACCAUAACCUAUCAAAUGUUUAGUGGAGUGAGAACUAUUUCAGGCUUGAUCAUCAUUAAAUCUACACUAACAUUCAAAAGUCAGUGAGAUUUUAGAAAAAAUUCAUUCAAGUCUCUUAUGCUAACCAAUGACACAUUUAUUGCAUAAAAAAAAUAAAAUAAAAUAAAUAAAAAAAAGUUGAAAACAAAAUAUAUAAAUAUAGUGUAAAAUGCAAUUUAUUUCUGUGAUUCAAAGCUGGAUUUUCAGCAUCUUUACUCCAGUCUUCAGUGUCACAUGAUCCUUCAGAAAUCAUUCUAAGAUGCUGAUCUGUUGCUCAAGAAACAUUUCUGAUUAUUAUCAAUCACUGAGAAAAAAAAGUUGUAAAUAAAACAAAGAUUAUUGGAGUACAUUUUACAAGAAAAUUCUAUUUCAGUCUUUCCUCUUCAACAUUGCACUUUAAUUGGAUGUCACUUGUCUUUUCUUUGUAAUUAACUGUAAAUUUUUCUAGCUAUUUCUGAGUGAAAAUUGUUCAAAACUUUUAUUUUUCUUUUAUUUUUUUUGUCUUUUUUUUGGUGUAUAAUAUGGACCCUAUUUUAAUGAUCUAAACACUUGGUCUAAAGCGCACAGUGCAAUUAAGUUUAGGGUGUGUCUGAAUCCAUUUUUUCUAGUUUAAGGACAGGAAAAAUGGUCAGCGCGACAGACGCAUUGUCUAAAAGGGUGGUUCCUAUUCUCUUAAAGAGUAAUGGGUGUGUUUUGGGCAUAACGAGCCAUAAACCAAUCAGAGUCUUCUCACAUUCCCUUUAAAAGCAAGUUGCGCUCGCGUCAUGGCGGAUUCUGCAAAAGAAAAGCUGAAUGCCUCUCUAAUGAGGGAACGGAUCUGGUCGUGCGCGUAAUUCUGUGUGAUAUAUAUAUAUAUAUAUAUAUAUAUAUAUAUAUAUAUAUAUAUAUAUAUAUAUAUAUAUAUAUAAAUUGCGCCAGACUUUAGACCAGGUUUUUGUUGGUCAUUGGCGCAGUCUAUUUCAGUUGCCUUAAAAUUUGCUAUUUAAACAACGUGACACAGUACGUGAAAAUGACACAGUACGUCUGGCUGAAACUAGCAAAAUACACUUGCGUCGCACCUGGUGCCACAUUGUGCCGGGUAUAUGAUAAGGCCCUGUGAUUCAGGAUUCUCAGAUACAUAGAAAGUUCUAAUUCAUGAUAGAAAUCUUUUGUAACAUUAUAAAAGUCUUAACUCUCGUUUCUGAUUAUUUAAAUGCAAACUUUUUAUUUAUUUAUUUUUUUACUGACCCCAAACUUUUCAAACUGCUUAACUCUUCUUGAUUCAGUCAGAUUUACUGAAUAGAACGUGUUUCAGAUUUACUGAAUAAAGCAUGCUUUUUCGGGAGUUUGCUCCAUUACUUUGCUGCUUCGUAAAGUAUUUUUUUGCAGACUAACUUCAGUGUAUCACUCAUGCUACACUGCUCUGUUUAUGCAGGCAGUGUGAAUGAUGUAACUUGUAUAUAUGGGUGCCGAAAUAAACACUACGCUUACAUAUACAAAGUUCAUGUGGUGUGAAGCAGGCCAAAGGGUUUAAGCAAUAUUUAAACUCCAGGGAAUUUCCACUAGCAGACAGAUAGCUGGUACAACAAGGAAGGCAAUAGACUGUAUAGUUAUCACCUGAACAGGGUUUGAUCCCUCCCACCAAACUAUACAACCUACUACCUCACCCUGUCAGGACACCAAAGGACAGUCCCAUCGCCUGACACGUUUGCGUAUGCAUGAAGUCAGCAUGACUCAUCGAUACCAGCCCAUUUUGCUUUUGUAAUGUGAGUGAAUAUCCUUUCCAACUCACUGGAGGACUGCAGACACUUUUUCAAAUGAGUCCAUGUUGUUUGUGGAUGAUUUGGCUGUCGCCUUAGGAAAGACAGUAGAUUGUAUAGUUAUCUCAGUGAGAGAGCGCAGGGCUCCACAACUAUUCAAUCUACUACCUCAGCCCCAAGGACAGCAGAACAGAUGUCAACCAGCC